CUACGGGUUGCUGCAGUGGGGAAUAUUGCACAAUGGGCGCAAGCCUGAUGCAGCCAUGCCGCGUGUAUGAAGAAGGCCUUCGGGUUGUAAAGUACUUUCAGCGGGGAGGAAGGGAGUAAAGUUAAUACCUUUGCUCAUUGGCGUUACCCGCAGAAGAAGCACCGGCUAACUCCGUGCCAGCAGCCGCGGUAAUACGGGGGGUGCAAGCUUUAAUCGGAAUUACUGGGCGUAAAGCGCACGCAGGCGGUUUGUUAAGUCAGGUGUGAAAUCCCCGGGCUCAACCUGGGAACUGCAUCUGAUACUGGCAAGCUUGAGUCUCGUAGAGGGGGGUAGAAUUCCAGGUGUAGCGGUGAAAUGCGUAGAGAUCUGGAGGAAUACCGGUGGCGAAGGCGGCCCCCUGGACGAAGACUGACGCUCAGGUGCGAAAGCGUGGGGAGCAAACAGGAUUAGAUACCCGUGUAGUC
rnacentral:rRNA from 1 species